CCUACGGGGGGCAGCAGUGGGGAAUAUUGGACAAUGGGCGAAAGCCUGAUCCAGCCAUGCCGCGUGUGUGAAGAAGGCCUUCGGGUUGUAAAGCACUUUCAGUGGGGAAGAAAGCCUUGGGGCUAAUACCCUCGAGGAAGGACAUCACCCACAGAAGAAGCACCGGCUAACUCCGUGCCAGCAGCCGCGGUAAUACGGAGGGUGCGAGCGUUAAUCGGAAUUACUGGGCGUAAAGCGCGCGUAGGCGGUCUGAUAAGCCAGUUGUGAAAGCCCCGGGCUCAACCUGGGAACGGCAUCCGGAACUGUCAGGCUAGAGUGCAGGAGAGGAAGGUAGAAUUCCCGGUGUAGCGGUGAAAUGCGUAGAGAUCGGGAGGAAUACCAGUGGCGAAGGCGGCCUUCUGGACUGACACUGACGCUGAGGUGCGAAAGCGUGGGUAGCAAACAGGAUUAGAUACCCUAGUAGUC
rnacentral:rRNA from 1 species